rnacentral:tRNA from 2 species
AAAAAAGCCGGAAUAGCUCAGUUGGUAGAGCAGAGGACUGAAAAUCCUCGUGUCA